rnacentral:misc_RNA from 1 species
GAAAUGCGAUAAGUAAUGUGAAUUGCAGAAUUCAGUGAAUCAUCGAAUCUUUGAACGCACCUUGCGCUCCUUGGUAUUCCUUGGAGCAUGCCUGUUUGAGUAUCAUGAAAUCUUCAAAGUAAAUCUUUUGUUAACUCAAUUGGUUUCUACUUUGGUAUUGGAGGUCUUUGCAGCUUUACACCUGCUCCUCUUUGUUCAUUAGCUGGAUCUCAGUGUAUGCUUGGUUCCACUCGGCGUGAUAAGUUAUCUAUCGCUGAGGACACUGUAAAAGGUGGCCAAGGUAAAUGCAGAUGAACCGCUUCUAAUAGUCCAUUGACUUGGACAAUACUUUUAUGAUCUGAUCUCAAAUCAGGUAGGACUACCCGCUGAACUUAAGC